rnacentral:lncRNA from 1 species
AAUGUUCUAGUGACUGACAAUGUCGCUUUGCCCUUCCUACUCCGUUCCUGCAAGGCUGUACCAGUCUUCAGAGUCACCCCUCCCAUCUCAACCCAAUCCUUCACCUUGGGCUGCCUGGUGUUCCCAUAUACAGCCACUAGAGGGUGUCGCUCAAUCAGUAACUGCCAGCCUGGUCGUUGCCCACUCUCUUCAAUUUGGGGACAUAUUGUAGUCCUGGGGUGGGGGGAUAGGGAGAGCAGUGACUUCAGUGAAAUGGCCUUCACUGCAGCACACAAUGUCUAGGUCCCAAGCCAUUCCAAGCCCAGAACAGAAACCUGACUCAGAAGACAAGAGUUCAACAUUCCAGGAGAGCCAUGAAUGACCUGCAGACACCAGCCCCCAGGCAACAGUGAACACUCCAGAUAAUUUUAAGACGGUUUCAUUCAUCCCGUGGGACCCUUCUGACUUGGGAAUGUGUAUAUUCUAAAAAUAAAAACGAUAGUGAUGGUGGAGAUGGUGUCCGCUAUCAGCUCAGCACCUACUGUAUGGUAGAGUGCUAAGAGCCCU